UACGUAGGGGGCAAGCGUUGUCCGGAAUCAUUGGGCGUAAAGCGCGCGUAGGCGGCCCGGUAAGUCCGCUCUGAAAAGUCCAGGGCUCAACCCUGGAAAGCGGGUGGAUACUGCCGGGCUAGAAUCCGGAGAGGCGAGUGGAAUUCCUGGUGUAGCGGUGGAAUGCGCAGAUAUCAGGAGGAACACCAAUAGCGAAGGCAGCUCGCUGGGACGGUAUUGACGCUAAGGCGCGAAAGCGUGGG
rnacentral:rRNA from 1 species